UACGUAGGCAGCGAGCGUUGUUCGGAAUUACUGGGCGUAAAGAGUGUGUAGGCGGUGCUCUAAGUUCGGUGUGAAAUCUCCCGGCUCAACUGGGAGGGUGCGCUACAGACUGUCUGACUAGAGUGUGGGAUGGGUAAGUGGAAUUCCUGGUGUAGCGGUGAAAUGCGUAGAUAUCAGGAGGAACACCGGUGGUGUAGACGGCUUACUGGACCAUAACUGACGCUGAGACACGAAAGCGUGGGUAGCAAACAGG
rnacentral:rRNA from 1 species